rnacentral:rRNA from 1 species
UGGGGAAUUUUGGACAAUGGGCGCAAGCCUGAUCCAGCCAUGCCGCGUGAGUGAAGAAGGCCUUCGGGUUGUACCGCUCUUACAGCCGGGAAGGAAACGCAUGGGUUAAUACCCUGUGUGGAUGGCGGUACCGGAAUAAGAAGCACCGGCUAACUACGUGCCAGCAGCCGCGGUAAU